rnacentral:lncRNA from 1 species
AAACGAACAUACUCUAUCAUUACUUAAAAGACUAAAAGGCUUUAAUCUCUGCCAAGGUUUCCGUUGUUUAAGUAAAAAGGAUAUUGAAGUUCAGUUUUUAACAUUAUAUUUGGACGCGAAUUAAGAGCUGAUGAUGACGGAUGUUUCAAAAGAAGACACAUGCAUAGAAAAUCAGAAGAACGCAGAACUUUACAAAGAAGGUAUUUGCAAAGAAGAUCUGCAGGCGGUGACAGAACAUUUAGAAAAUGACCACAAGACUAAUGAUAUGGUAGAUGAGCAUGGCAUGUCGCCUGAUUGGUCUAGUUCAGGAUUUCUAUCAGUAGAAACCCCGUCUGAUAACACGACUGCAGAGGAAACAAAUGGCACUGACACACAUACAGAAUUGAAGUUUUUGAAAAUAAAGUAUAAUCAGCUUCGUUCGCAAGUUUUCUCAUUGAACAACCAAAUUUCGUCUCAUAAAUCUAAUUUGAGGAAAGAGACGAACACACUUAAAAAUGAAAAAAAACAGGGAAAUAAAUAAAAAGGAGAAGGAAAUAAGGUAUCUAAAUAAGGAAAAUGAAGAACUAGAAACGGAAAUUAAAGAAAUGAAACAACUAAACGAGCACCAAGCAGAAGAGAAUCUUGCAUGUCAGUCACAAAUACUUGAAUAUCAGUUAAAAAUUAAAGAGUUGCAAAAUACAGUCGAAAUUCUUGAAAACAAAUGUCAAACGAUUCGCGUCUAUCCGGACAUGCAACAGGCUGCAGAUAUAAGAUCCCAAACAUCUGAACUUGAAACAUGCCAAAAAAGAGAUAGAAGAUUUAAAACGUUGUAUAGAUCAGAUGGCAGUAAAACUAAAGAAAAAGGACGAAACUCUUCGUAAAAAGGAUGAAGCGAUUCGAAGAAAGGACGACAUAAUUCGGAAAAAGGAUGACAUUAUUCGAAGGCAUGAUGAGACAACUAGAGGCUUACGAAAAGACAUGAACAAACAGUUUGAUAUUAUGAAUAAAAAUUUUAAUACUAUGCUUCUCUACAUGACAGAAGAUCGUGCAUCUGUUCAGCAAGCAACUGACACAAAUAAAAGAAAACAUGCCAACUCAGAGUUUCAGAGGACCGCAAACAUUCAAUAACAAGACCCGCCCUGUUUCUCUUUUGACCAGCGGUCAGGGAGUUAAAGAUGCAUCAUCUAAAACAACUGUACUACCGGAUAAACUCCCUGAAGCAAGAGGUAAGAUCUUCACGCAGACAAAAAUCAGGGCUCUCAAGGAAGCGUCAUCAGAAAGAGCACCGCCGAUGAAGAAGCAAUGGUCUUCGCCCUCGAAAAGAAGGGAAUCGACAAUGUAGUAAAAUUCGAAAAAUGUUUCAUCUGGACAGUUUGCGUAGAAAAAAAGGUCUAAUUUAAUAUCAGAUCAAAACCUAUUUAAAAUAAAGCGAUUAACGUAAGUGUAAAAUUUGCUGUCUUUUGAGAGCGUGAAAGAAACCAUGAUUUUGAAUUAUCAUGAUUGUAUGCAUUUUCGUAUAACCUGUUGAUCUAAUCUGAUAUCACUUUAAUGCAUCUUCAUAUUCUUAAAUAUUUUGCAGUAUACUUAAGGUGGAUUCUGAAUGAGCAUUGCAACACAUUGUUACAUAUUUACAUAUACCUUUUGAUAAUUUAAUCUGUUAGCAAACACGUAUUGGGUAACACACUCGUCUCUGAAAAUUAAUGUUUCCUCAAAUACAUUCUUAAAUGUAUCUCCCCAGAAAUUUCCCAAAAACCUUUCCAACACAUGGGCAUAAUUGUGGAAAUUUGUUCUCAUUUGUCAUUCAAUAUUUGACAUAGACUUCCAUUGCGUAUCUUUCAAACAAAAAUUAAUAUUAAAAAAUACCGCAUUUCUCCUGUUGUAGAUAAAUUGACAAGUCGGGGCGUCCGUUGACAAAUGGUUACGAUCACUUACUUCAAAUCAUUUGCCAAUCAUCGACAUGGGUUCAUGUGUGCCCGAUCCUUUCUCCUCGGGGUAUUGAAUUCUUCAUGUAAGGAAGCAAUCCAGCCGGCUUACGGAAGGUCGGUGGUUCUAUCCAGGUCCACACUCGUGAUAAAAUAGUGCGCGGAGGCGCACCUGGGGUCUUCCUAGCCCAUUACAGGCUGGGAGGUCGCCAUAUGACAUAUAAUUGUGUCCUCGGAAAGUACAAAUUGUAGUACAUUUUUUAUUAUGUAUGUUACACAUGUUGUUUCAGUUCUGGCUAUGACAGAAGAUCUGCAUUCAGCAAUCUAUAUAAUUUUUAAAGUAUCUACCCUUUUAAGUCAGGUAUGUUUUGACAUUUAAAAACGUCGAACAACUUGCGAAGUGAAUUGCAUUGCACUGCAUUGAAAACGAAAGUACGAAAAUGAUUUUGAAAAAAAAAACAAACAAGUAAUGAUUACACUGACACAAU